rnacentral:rRNA from 1 species
UACGUAGGAGGCGAGCGUUGUCCGGAUUCAUUGGGCGUAAAGAGCACGCAGGCGGUUUGGCAAGUCGGAUGUGAAAACCCGGAGCUCAACUCCGGACCUGCAUCCGAAACUGCCCGACUAGAGGUAGGUAGGGGAGAUCGGAAUUCCUGGUGUAGCGGUGAAAUGCGCAGAUAUCUGGAGGAACACCGGUGGCGAAGGCGGCAUCCUGGACCAACACUGACGCUGAGUGAGCGAAAGCCAGGGGAGCAAAGCGGG